rnacentral:tRNA from 1 species
ACUUAAAUAGUUUAAUAUAAAAUAUUGAUUUGUGGUAUCAAAGUUAUAGGUUUAUUUUAGGUU